rnacentral:rRNA from 1 species
GUGGGGAAUCUUGCGCAAUGGGCGAAAGCCUGACGCAGCGACGCCGCGUGGGGGAUGAAGGCCCUCGGGUUGUAAACCCCUUUCGGCAGGGACGAAGCGGUUCCGUGACGGUACCUGCAGAAGAAGCCUCGGCUAACUACGUGCCAGCAGCCGCGGUAAGACGUAGGAGGCGAGCGUUGUCCGGAUUCAUUGGGCGUAAAGAGCACGCAGGCGGUUUGGCAAGUCGGAUGUGAAAACCCGGAGCUCAACUCCGGGCCUGCAUCCGAAACUGCCCGACUAGAGGUAGGUAGGGGAGAUCGGAAUUCCUGGUGUAGCGGUGAAAUGCGCAGAUAUCAGGAGGAACACCGGUGGCGAAGGCGGAUCUCUGGGCCUUACCUGACGCUCAGGUGCGAAAGCUAGGGGAGCGAACAGGAUUAGAUACCCUUGUAGUCC